AGGACGAACGCUGGCGGCGUGCUUAACACAUGCAAGUCGAACGAGGUGCUUGCACCUAGUGGCGAACGGGUGAGUAACACGUGAGCAACCUACCCUUGGCUCUGGGAUAGCCUCCGGAAACGGGGAUUAAUACCGGACAUGACCUGUGACGGCAUCUUCACGGGUGGAAAGUUUUUCGGCCAGGGAUGGGCUCGCGGCCUAUCAGCUAGUUGGAGGGGUAACGGCCCACCAAGGCGACGACGGGUAG
rnacentral:rRNA from 1 species